rnacentral:rRNA from 1 species
ACUCAUGAUUAGGGCUAAUGACUGCCGCGACCGUACUCCACCCUAGCGUUCGAUACCACUCAGCCUGCUCCUGGCGGCCAUUCCUAACCAGGCAGUAGAUAUAGACAUUCGGCUCUAGUGUGGCGAGGUUAGUCAAAAAGUGGAAAUAAUUCCCUCAUAUUAUCUAUAGAUGAAAGAGAGGCAUCCCAAGACCUCAUGAUGUCGUAGCGGCAAAGAUUUAUCUACCUAGGAUGAGGGGGCGUAAGCUUAGGUAGCAGGUGACAUAAAGUCUCAUCAGACCGACGAUAUUCACAUGGUGUGAGAGGCUCGUCACACACUCUGGCGGGAGGCAGCGGUCCAGACUCUUGGACAAGGCAGGCAGUGGGGGAUCCAGCACAAUGGCGGGAAUCAAGAACCCGCAAGGGCGCGUGAGCUAUGAAGGCAGGGGGGUUGCGGAAGUAUUUAACCCGGAAUGAUAAUGACAGUACCGGGAGAAUAAGCUCCGGCUAACUCCGUGCCAGCAGCCGCGGUAAUAAGG